rfam:Trichobilharzia regenti genome assembly, scaffold: TRE_scaffold0027475
GUACUGCUGAAGAGUCCCAAAUUAAGACGAAACAAAUGUCUAGUAC